rnacentral:snRNA from 15 species
AUACUUACCUGGCAGGGGAGAUACCAUGAUCAAGAAGGUGGUUCACCCAGGGCGAGGCUCGGCCAUUGCACUCCGGUUGUGCUGACCCCUGCGAAUUCCCCAAAUGUGGGAAUCUCGACUGCAUAAUUUCUGGUAGUGGGGGANNNN